UACGUAGGGGGCAAGCGUUGUCCGGAAUCAUUGGGCGUAAAGCGCGUGUAGGCGGCUUGGUAAGUCCGUUCUGAAAGCCCGGGGGCUCAACCCCCGGGAGGCGGAUGGAUACUGUCAAGCUCGAGUCCGGAAGAGGCGAGUGGAAUUCCAGGUGUAGCGGUGAAAUGCGCAGAUAUCUGGAGGAACACCAAAUGGCGAAGGCA
rnacentral:rRNA from 1 species